GGAUGAGCUAUUAAGCAGCUUAAUUUCGACUUAAGUGAAGGAAAAUAUAGUGAAGUUCACAUCAU
rnacentral:tRNA from 1 species